UACAGAGGUCUCAAGCGUUUGUUCGGAUUCAGUUGGGCGUAAAGGGUGGCGUAGGCGGCGCGGUAAGUCGGGUGUCGAAAUCUCGGAGCUUAACUCCGAAACUGCAUUCGAUACUGCCGUGCUUGAGGACUGGAGAGGAGACUGGAAUUUGACGGUGUAGCGGUGAAAUGCGUAGAUAUCAAGAGGGAACACCUGGAGGUGAAGA
rnacentral:rRNA from 1 species